UACGGGGGGGGCAAGCGUUGUUCGGAAUUACUGGGCGUAAAGGGCUCGUAGGCGGCCAACUAAGUCGGACGUGAAAUCCCUCGGCUUAACCGGGGAACUGCGUCCGAUACUGGAUGGCUUGAGUGUGGGAGAGGGAUGCGGAAUUCCAGGUGUAGCGGUGAAAUGCGUAGAUAUCUGGAGGAACACCGGUGGCGAAGGCGGCACCCUGGACCACGACUGACGCUGAGUGAGCGAAAGCCAGGGGAGCAAACGGG
rnacentral:rRNA from 1 species